GCCUACGACCAUCUCACCCUGAAUGCGCCCGAUCUCGUCUGAUCUCGGAAGCUAAGCAGGGUCGAGCCUGGUUAGUAUUUGGAUGGGAGACUGCCUGGGAAUACCAGGUGUUGUAGGUU
rnacentral:rRNA from 1 species